AUUGAACGCUGGCGGCAGGCCUAACACAUGCAAGUCGAACGAGUGGCGGACGGGUGAGUAAUGUCUGGGAAACUGCCUGAUGGAGGGGGAUAACUACUGGAAACGGUAGCUAAUACCGCAUACCCUCAGAUGUGCCCAGAUGGGAUUAGCUAGUUGGUGGGGUAACGGAUCACCAAGGCGACGAUCCCUAGCUGGUCUGAGAGGAUGACCAGCCAGACGGGAACUGAUACAAGGUCCAGACUCCUACGUGAGGCAGCAGUGGGGAAUAUUGCACAAGAGGCGCAAGCCUGAUGCAGCCAUGCCGCGUGUAUGAAGAAGGCCUUCGGGUUGUAAAGUACUUUCAGCGGGGAGGCGUUACCCGCAGAAGAAGCACCGGCUAACUCCGUGCCAGCAGCCGCGGUAAUAC
rnacentral:rRNA from 1 species